rnacentral:lncRNA from 1 species
AUGCCCUUUCCUUUCCUGUUCAAGGGAGAGAAGCACAGCUGAGAUUAAACCACCUACAACUUGACCACACCUGGGGCCUUUGUUAUAUUUAUAUAAGUGGGCAAACUCCUUUCAUUCUUCCAUGCCGAUCAGAACACCAGGUGUCAGUCAUUCAGCCUUUUUUUCUUUCUCUCUUUUUAUUUUGGCUGUUUGUGUUUUUCAUAUUACAAAAGUAAUGCAGCAUCUUUUUUAAAACGUAGAAACUAUAAAUAAAUAAAGACAAAGGAAAAUCGCCUGUAAUCUUACCACAGAGCAGGAUCCAUUCUGAACACUUCUGGUUCUGCUCCUGCAAUUGCUUUUUUUAUGCCUAGAUACACACCCCUGUGGGUUUCUUACAAAAAAUGGGUAUGAACGCACUCACUGUUUUUUCCUGCUCCGUUGGCACUACACUAUGUGUUUGCCUGAAUAUCUUUCCACAGUUGUGCCAGAUCUCAUCUGCCCGCCUGUAUUGGUUGAACGGUGCCCUCCUCCCGAAAGACAUGUCCACUCAGAAGCUGUGAAUGUGACCUUAUUUGGAAAAAGGCCAUUGCAGUUGUGAGUACAUUAAGGAUUUCAAUAUAAGAUCAUGCUGGAUUAGCUGGGCGCACCCUAAACCCAAUGGCAAGUGUUCUUAGAAGAGAAGGAAGGAGAAAAACAGAGGAGAAGGCCAUGGGAAGAGAAGCAGGGAUUUGAGUGAUGUGUCUGCAAGCCAAGAAAGGCCAAGGAUGGCUGGCAGCCCCCAGGAGCCAGGAGAGAGGCGUGGACGGAUUCUCCCUCAGAACCUCCAGAGGGGACCCGUUGAUUUUAGACUCGAUUUUAGGCUUCCAGCCUCCAGAACGAAAUGUUCCAUCAGCUCACCCUCCCAUCAGGAGCGUAGGAGAAGACCUAGUCCCUAGCACCAGCUCUAAUCAACAUUUUUGGAUAAACAAGGAAACC